rnacentral:misc_RNA from 1 species
AUGGCCAGGAGUAGCUCGAACCUGUCAAAAUAACAAAUACAAAAUAAUUUGUUCACUGAUGGAUGAAAUGACAAUCUGCAAAAAACAGGAACAAGAUAAUACAGCUGUUGUGCUUAAUUCUGCACAAUCUGCAUAGAUGCAGCUGCAGUUGUGAAAAUCACUAGAGUUAAAGCUAUGGCAAUGAAACAAGUAGUAUGUACCUACAACAAUUACAAUACAGCUAGUAUGCACCCUUUAUGGACAAAAAUGGCCAAAAACCAGCGAGGCUAAGCUAAGGGCUACACACCCAGAACAAAUACAAAAGUUUGCCACAAAUUUUUAAAGAACCUUACUCUAAUUACUAUUAGUUAUAACAAAAUAAACAG